CUGAAAAAGAGGCAGGCACUAGCGAAACCAGUCCAAAAACUGAGGGUUCAGAAACAGAAGGAGAAGAAACUGAAGGUACUUCAAAGAAAACAAGUUCAGAAGAGGGAGACGAGGAAGAGGAAGAAGAUUAAUCCUAUUUAUCUAGAGCACUACUUAUCACUAUAUAU